UGGCCCUGAUCUCUGGAGGGGGGAAGCGGCGGCUCCUGUUGCCACAGGGGUCUCGAGUGGGGAUCGGCUCCCGCUGAUGUAUCAGGAUUGCGCCAAGCUGGGGUCUGCAUACAGGAGGGGGAUGGGGAUCGCUCCGAAAGGAAGCAAAUUGGGUUUCCAAGACAAACGUCCAGCGUCACCGGUCAAUAUGGAGAGAACAAGCAUUCAUCCCAGCGCUUGAAACGAGGAAAGCAGCAAAGUACCUACCAGAUGGUGAGACCCGUCCAUUCUCGAGACAGUCUGCGGGAGGGUGGCUUGGAGAGAUGUCUCGGAGUCAGUGUGGAGGGAACCGGAUGGGUCCAGGCGACGAGCGAAAGAGAAAAAAGAAGGGAGAAUGGCUGACUUUGGCAGUACGCAGGACUCCUGACAAAUCACAGGGGCUGGAACAAGGACCACCCCCCCACUGGGGGCCGCCACCCUACUCAGCAAGCCUGGCCCCCAAAUGCAGCGCAGAGGAGCCGGGGCGGAGCGGGGCAGCGCAUGGGCACAGAUCAGCCCGUGGGGCCGCAGCUUCUCUCACCCACACGUGGCACUCCAGCUCUCAGGCCUGCCAACAGGCCUAGUGGAAAGAGAGUCAAGGACGCCCGUCGAUUAGACUGUAAGCCCGUCGAUA